GUGCGAGACCGAUAGCGAACAAGUACCGUGAGGGAAAGAUGAAAAGAACUUUGAAAAGAGAGUUAAAGAGUACCUGAAACUGCUGAAAGGGAAGCGAAUCGUAUCCAGUGUCUAUAAUCUGCGGCAUAUUUCAUUGGCGGCGGUGCGCGUGCUUUUGCGUCGGAAGCGGCUUUUGUUGCUCUGUGCUUUUGCUGUGCGUGGUGUUGCUGGUGCCCUGUGUUGCGGUGGGACGUCAGAGUCAGUUUGUAUGCUGCGGGAAAUGGCUGCCGAGGAGGUAGGUCGAGAUUUCGGUCUUGGCUGUUAUAUCUUGGUGGUUUGUUGUCGUGGUUGAGACUGAGGUGCCUACAAUGUGCUUUUGAGUGUACCGGGUUCUCAUUUGGUGGACUGUUUGGAUAGCUUGCUAUGCUUGUGGUUUUUUCAUCGGGCGAUUGAGUCUGGUGGUAACUUGUUGCUGUUCGGGACUUUGAA
rnacentral:rRNA from 2 species